CGUAUUGACGAUGCGGUAGGAUCAUUACCGAGUUAUCCAACUCCCAACCCCUGUGAAUUAUACCUUUAAUUGUUGCUUCGGCGGGACUUCGCGCCCGCCGGGGACCCAAACCUUCUGAAUUUUUUAAUAAGUAUCUUCUGAGUGGUUAAAAAAAUGAAUCAAAACUUUCAACAACGGAUCUCUUGGUUCUGGCAUCGAUGAAGAACGCAGCGAAAUGCGAUAAGUAAUGUGAAUUGCAGAAUUCAGUGAAUCAUCGAAUCUUUGAACGCACAUUGCGCCCGUCAGUAUUCUGGCGGGCAUGCCUGUUCGAGCGUCAUUACGCCCCUCAAGUCCCCUGUGGACUUGGUGUUGGGGAUCGGCGAGGCUGGUUUUCCAGCACAGCCGUCCCUUAAAUUAAUUGGCGGUCUCGCCGUGGCCCUCCUCUGCGCAGUAGUAAAGCACUCGCAACAGGAGCCCGGCGCGGUCCACUGCCGUAAAACCCCCCCAACUUUUUAUAGUUGACCUCGAAUCAGGUAGGACUACCCGCUGAACUUAAGCAUAUCAAUAAGCGGAGGAAAAGAAACCAACAGGGAUUGCCCCAGUAACGGCGAGUGAAGCGGCAACAGCUCAAAUUUGAAAUCUGGUCCCCGGGGCCCGAGUUGUAAUUUGCAGAGGAUGCUUUUGGUGAGGUGCCUUCCGAGUUCCCUGGAACGGGACGCCAUAGAGGGUGAGAGCCCCGUCUGGUUGGAUACCGAGCCUCUGUAAAGCUCCUUCGACGAGUCGAGUAGUUUGGGAAUGCUGCUCUAAAUGGGAGGUAUAUGUCUUCUAAAGCUAAAUAUUGGCCAGAGACCGAUAGCGCACAAGUAGAGUGAUCGAAAGAUGAAAAGCACUUUGAAAAGAGGGUUAAAUAGUACGUGAAAUUGUUGAAAGGGAAGCACUUAUGACCAGACUUGGCCCCGGUGAAUCAUCCAGCGGUUCCCGCUGGUGCACUUUGCCGGGGUUCAGGCCAGCAUCAGUUCGCUCCGGGGGAUAAAGGCUUUGGGAAUGUGGCUCCCUCGGGAGUGUUAUAGCCCAUUGCGUAAUACCCUGUGGCGGGCUGAGGUUCGCGCUUAUGCAAGGAUGCUGCAUAAUACAGCGGGGUG
rnacentral:rRNA from 1 species